UGGUACGUACUGGUAUCAUUGGUUUCCCCUUUCUGACGAACCAUGAUGUCAUUAAUUUGGUGUUAUGGGAAGUUAGGACUGUUACUUUGAAAAAAUUAGAGUCGUUUAAAGCAGGCUUUGGCUUGAAUACAUUAGCAUGGAAUAAUGAAAUAGGACGUUCGAACCUAUUUUGUUGGUUUCUAGGAUCAACGUAAUGAUUAAUAGGGAUAGUUGGGGGCAUUAGUAUUCAAUUGGCAGAGGUGAAAUUCUUGGAUUUAUUGAAGACUAACUACUGUGAAAGCAUUUGCCAACGAUGUUUCAUUAAUCAAGAACGAAAGUUAGGGGAUCGAAGACGAUCAGAUACUGUCGUAGUCUUAACCAUAAACUAUGCCGACUAGGGAUGUUAAUUUUUUAAUGACUCAUUCGGCGCCUUACG
rnacentral:rRNA from 1 species